CGGUUAUAAUCUGUUCGAAAGUGUAAACCCAUUGGAUAACCGUGGGAAAUCUAGAGCUAAUACAUACGACUAAACGAUUUGCAGAAAUGUGGAUCGGUGCAUUUAUUGGACAAAACCAAACGCUGGUGUGUCAUCUGGCAUAUCAACGGGGUGAAUCUAGAUAACUGAGCAGAUUGCCUCGCCUCGAGCUGGCAAUGUUUCGAUUGAAUUUCCGCCCUAUCAACUGUUGAUGGUAAGGUAGAGGCUUACCAUGGUUGCAACGGGUAACGGGGAAUCAGGGUUCGAUUCCGGAGAGGGAGCCUGAGAAACGGCUACCACAUCCAAGGGAGGCAGCAGGCGCGCAAAUUACCCAAUCCAGACGAUGGGAGGUGGCAACGAGAAGUACUGGGUGCUCGGCUAUGCCGUGUAUCCCGGAAUGAGCACAAAGUAAAAAGUUGGUCGAGUAACUACUGGAGGGCAAGUCUGGUGCCAGCAGCCGCGGUAAUUCCAGCUCCAGUAGCGUGUCGUAAAGUUGUUGCGUUUAAAACGCUCGUAGUCGGAUCAUGACGCGUGUAUUGGUUAGCUAAUGGGGUGGACGUUUAAACGAUUCCUGUAACGCGACUAGGGUAAUUCCGGUUGCAAUGCUAGUUUCGUGUUUGUUCUGUUAGUGAUUGCUAAUACAUGCUAUUUGCAUGCAAGAAUGGCUAUUGGCCUUAAGUGCGUUGGUAGCCGUGUCUUGCAGAGUGUGCCUUGAAUAAAUCAUAGUGCUUCAAGCAGGCUAUUGCCUGAGUGAUACAGCAUGGAACGAACCAUCGUGUUGUGUGUCUAGUUUGUAAGGUCUUUGAUCUUAUAUUUUAGACAUUUCACCAACCACCACUACGGAUGUUGGUUUCCGUAAUGGGGUGAUGAUAAAAACGAGCGGUUGGGGGCAUUGGUAUUUGGCAGCGAGAGGUGAAAUUCUUGGACCGGCCAAGGACUAACAAAAGCGAAGGCAUUUGCCAAGACCGUCUCGAUUGAUCAAGAACGAUAGUGGGAGGUUCGAAGAUGAUCAGAUACCGUCCUAGUUCCCACCGUAAACGAUGCCGACCCGGGAUAAGUGUGGAGCAUUAAACGCUCCAGGUUGGUCCCCCUGGGAAACCUCAAGUGUUUGGGUUACGGGGGGAGUAUGGUCGCAAGGCUGAAACUUAAAGGAAUUGACGGAAGGGCACCACCAGGAGUGGAGCCUGCGGCUUAAUUUGACUCAACACGGGACAACUCACUCGGUCCGAACGUCUAGAGGAUUCACUGGCCGAAGAUCAUUGAUGAUCAGAUGCGUGGUGGUGCAUGGCCGUUCUUAGUUCGUGAGGUGACUUGUCUGAUUUAUUUCGAUAACGAACGUGAUCAAGGUCUUCAUUUACGAUACGAAAUAGUGCGUUUUGAUACGUUCGCGUGUUUAGGCGUGCUCUAUAAGAAUGUGUAGGGUUUUUAGUGCUGUUUCGGCAGUGCUAAGAGCUCGCAUACAUGAUUGUAUCCUUUCGUAGCCCUGUUGGUGGCAACACUAACAGUUGCAUGAAGAGACAACUGACAAUAAGCUUAAAAUCAGAGGAAGUUUGGCUAUAACAGGUCUGUUAUGCCCUUAGAUGUUCGAGGCUGCACGCGCGCUACAAUGACAGUGACAGCGAGCUAUCUGGUCCGAUAGGACUGGGCAAUCUGUUAAUCGCUGUCGUGAUGGGGAUUGCUCAUUGUAACUUGAGCAUGAAAUAGGAAUUCCUUGUACAUGCACUUCAUUCAGAGUGCGUGGAAUGUGUCACUGCCCUUUGUACACACCGCCCGUCGCUACUACCGAGUGAAUCGCUUCAUGAUGCCUUGGGACCAGACGCAGUUUGGGCAACCAAUCGGCGCGGAAUCAAGGUAAAAUGACUCA
rnacentral:rRNA from 1 species